GAUGUCCGUUGUCACUGAUAUAUAAAUCAAGGAGUUCUGCUGUCUCUCUCAUUGUGAAGGAAACAUCAUCGCGGACAGUUCGACGGAUUUUAUAAGUACUACGCGCAGAAAAUAACCAUGAACUGUUACGUCAAGCUCAGCAUCAUUUUGUGUUUUUGCUCCCUCCUGGUCUGCGGGCAGGCCUCCCAGGGCAUAGAUAAACUCCUCAAGUCACCGAACCUACUCUUCGGCCGAAAAAGGAGCCCGGACCCAGCAGGCAGUAACCUCUUCUUCGGCAGACGAUCAUUCGAACCACAACAAUAUGGCCGCCAGUUUUGUGCAAAUGUCAUCGAAACGUGUCGAUAUUGGUACGAGCAAAACAAUGACGUCAGCGCCACUGAACAGAGUUAAAGACGUAACCAAACCAUCCCAGUCGCUCGAUUCGGCUUUUUCUACACGACCAAAAGAUUUCUUGACCUUACGUAGAGAUGAUGACCGAUCACUUCCAAGGCGCCGUUUCCCAUAAGCUGUGGCAGAUCUAAGCCUCAAAAUGGCGCAUCUGCCGUAUGAUAUUUCUUGCUUGAACACUUUUCAAGCACAAAAGUGUUAAAGUUGUCAGUGGUGAUACUUUCAAUUACAAAAACUCUACUCGGGGAAUAUUGUAUCAUCGGGACAUUUCCGUGGUUGCCCACCAGUUGUCACACCGACCUGCUAGACUGUUUCCAAUUUGUAGUGUUAACCCCCUAACUCCGAGCCCUGGGUUUGAGUGAUGCCCCGUUAGGUACCUUCUAGUUCAGAGUGCCAGCGGUGCAUGGCAUAUGCACUAUGAGAAGCUUUCUCUGUAGUACUCAAAUAGCAUCUGAUAAGGCGACCUAUUUACUUUGACAUUUUUUCCAAAGCUGGGAGCUCCUUGAAAUAUGGGACCGGUGUAGAUCCCCUCCUCAGACGAAAACCCCACAAUAAGAUUCUGGUGUAAGUACUUAUUUUUUUUCCUUUAGCAACUGUUGCCAGAGUCUUGUAUUCAGUUUUUCUACAAUCUGGUUUAAGAUAGCAGCCAUGAUCUCUGAAGAAUCUUUUAAACAUGGUAUAGGGAACUAAAUACUACUGCCAACCGCCACAUUUUCACGACUGUUUUAUCCUCAACCAAAAUUCGCAAAAAUAUAAGUUGCGAAAAAAAUUGUUGAUUGGGAAAACCGAAUGAAAUUCGUAAUUGGCAGAAAUCUUCGCGAAUUGCAUGAAAUGGAGACGCGAAAAUGUUGCAAAUUACAGUACCAUAAACCAGAGAACAGAAGAGUCGGAACGGGUUAAUCAUCAGUUUUUCAUCUUGAAAUAAAUCAUUUCUCCAUUCUGUGACCUGACUCAUGUAAUAAUGACGUCGCUCUGCCGCAUGUGCGAUAAAUCAGAACUUGUAAUAGUUAAUACAAUAAAUAGUUUAUCUUAGAAA